rnacentral:rRNA from 1 species
UACGGAGGGUGCAAGCGUUAAUCGGAAUUACUGGGCGUAAAGCGUGCGCAGGCGGUUUGUUAAGUCCGUUGUGAAAGCCCCGAGCUCAACUUGGGAAUUGCAGUGGAUACUGGCAGGCUGGAGUACGGUAGAGGAAGGUGGAAUUCCCGGUGUAGCAGUGAAAUGCGUAGAGAUGUGGAGGAAUACCGAUGGCGAAGGCAGCCCCCUGGGAUAAUACUGACGCUCAUGCACGAAAGCGUGGGGAGCAAACAGG